AACGAACGCUGGCGGCAUGCCUAAUACAUGCAAGUCGAACGAGAUCUUCGGAUCUAGUGGCGCACGGGUGCGUAACGCGUGGGAAUCUGCCCUUGGGUUCGGAAUAACUUCUGGAAACGGAAGCUAAUACCGGAUGAUGACGUAAGUCCAAAGAUUUAUCGCCCAAGGAUGAGCCCGCGUAGGAUUAGGUAGUUGGUGAGGUAAAGGCUCACCAAGCCGACGAUCCUUAGCUGGUCUGAGAGGAUGAUCAGCCACACUGGGACUGAGACACGGCCCAGAAUCAUACGGGAGGCAGCAGUAGGGAAUAUUGGACAAUGGGCGAAAGUCUGAUACAGCAAUGCCGCGUGAGGGAUGAAGGCCUUAGGGUUGUAAAGCUCUUUUACCCGGGAUGAUAAUGACAGUACCGGGAGAAUAAGCUCCGGCUAACUCCGUG
rnacentral:rRNA from 1 species